UGGUGAGAAGCACAUGAGGUAUGUGCGGCGGCCUGUUAAGCCGAGGGUAGUGGGUUCGAAUCCCACCUCGCCAGCCA
rnacentral:tRNA from 1 species